rnacentral:rRNA from 1 species
CCUACGGGGUGCAGCAGUGGGGAAUAUUGGACAAUGGGCGAAAGCCUGAUCCAGCCAUGCCGCGUGUGUGAAGAAGGCCUUCGGGUUGUAAAGCACUUUCAGUGUGGAAGAAAGCCUUUGGGCUAAUACCCUCGAGGAAGGACAUCACCCACAGAAGAAGCACCGGCUAACUCCGUGCCAGCAGCCGCGGUAAUACGGAGGGUGCGAGCGUUAAUCGGAAUUACUGGGCGUAAAGCGCGCGUAGGCGGUCUGAUAAGCCGGUUGUGAAAGCCCCGGGCUCAACCUGGGAACGGCAUCCGGAACUGUCAGGCUAGAGUGCAGGAGAGGAAGGUAGAAUUCCCGGUGUAGCGGUGAAAUGCGUAGAGAUCGGGAGGAAUACCAGUGGCGAAGGCGGCCUUCUGGACUGACACUGACGCUGAGGUGCGAAAGCGUGGGUAGCAAACAGGAUUAGAUACCCCGGUAGUC